rnacentral:tRNA from 1 species
ACCCGGGUGGUGGAAUUGGUAGACACGUACGUUUGAGGGGCGUAUGCCGAGAGGCUUGCAGGUUCAAGUCCUGUUCCGGGUA